AUGCUUCAUGCUAGUGCGACUUCUUCAUGUCAUGACUUACCUAUUUAUGAUAAAUAUGAUGAUGAGCAUGUUGAGUUGCCUAGUUGUGAUCCUAUGCUCCAUAGGAUAUCAUGUGAAAAUUCUUUUGGUCACAUCAUGUUUGACAAUCCAUUAACCUUGUCAUAUGUUAUGAGUGAGAUAUUCCAUAUUGCAUCAUUUCAAUCUCAACAUAGUAACUAUGCAUGCCCCAUUAAAAUCAAUCCCAUUUGCACUUAUGGCAUAGAUGACGAGAUGAUGGUCAUUGGCUUUUGUUUCUCAUGUGAUGAUAUUGCCAUGCUUCCUUUACAUGAUUUGCGCAAUUCAUCUACUAUGCCAUGCCAUGAUCACAUUGCUCCAAAUAUGCAUUGUUUUGAAUGUUGUCAAUAUUCUCCAUGUGAUGUUUCCAUUAAUGCUCAUGAGGAGACCCCCAUAGUUUCCUCAUACAUAUUAGGAGAUUUUGAUGCAUUCCAUACAUUGCAUGAUUCUCAUAAUUGCUUGCACCGUAUGCAUUCCAUGAAUAACAAUGCUCGACACAUUUCUUGUGAUGCAUUACACAAUUUGAGUCUCCAUUAUGCUAUACAUAACAACAAACCUAUCAUGAUGGAUGACAUGUUUCUAUAUCACACAUCUCAUUUAUUUGAGCAUUGGCUAUUUUGUGCCAACCAACACAAGCACGUGCGCAUCAUGAUGGAUGAUGUGUACAUCUACCACGCACACACAAUUUUCCCUUUGUCUUUGUUUUGUGUAGGUACUCACGUAUACUCGUCAACCUCUCAAUCCCAAGAGUUGGCGAAACGAGCUCUUGAGAGCAAAGAUGACUUGGGAUCCCGUGAACUAUCCUUUCCACCACUCUCUUCGCGCAACGACUACAUGCAUCUCUUUCACUUGGCUCUCACACGGCUAUGGGCUACAUACCGCUUCUCGCUUCUUGCUCAUUUUACCGUGUUCACUUUGCAUGCUAUGCUUUCUUCUAUGCCUUUGCCAUGCAAUUGUGACCCUUGCUUGCAUCUACCCAUGAUUCACAAUUAUGUUACUCCUAUGUGUAUUUGCAUGCUUGGUGGAGAUCCUUGUUGCUAUUGCCAUGUUUAUCAUGUGCCUCAUGCUAUUGAUGCUAUUUUGCUCAUAUCCUCCUUUCAUGCUUGUGAUAUGUCUUGUGCAUUAUUCAUGCCCACCAUUUGCACACAUGACAUACUUGACAUGAUUCUUUCUAGUAUGUUGCAUCUUCGCAAUACUAGCUUGCUUGCCUGA
rnacentral:rRNA from 1 species